UGGUGGGGUUGGGGGUGGGAAGAGUUAUAGAGCUCCUUCUGGGAUCCGUAAGUCCCCAGAUAUCGGAAGGGACACCAGCCUUUACAGUAAUGACAGCCAGAUUCCAGCUCUCGUAUGAAGCUACCAGCUGCCUUGGAAAGGACCCACAAAUAAGAGGUAGUCUGUGUCUGCUCAACUCAGCCUCCAAGAGAACAUGUUCCAAAACCCUGCGGCAAGAGGGUGAGAACGAUUAAGACAACAUUUUGCGAUACUUACCAGGUGCUGUCUGCAUCCUUCCAACUCAUGGUGACUUUGGGAAUGGCCGUCCAGAGGCUCAGGAGUGGAGAUGCUGCUGUCAGGCACGGAGGGUAAGUAACUUUGGAGUGAAGUCUGUGAGCUUGUUAGCUGUCCGUCACUUGCCAUGGGCCACUGGAGGG